UGGACUGGUCAGCACAAUCCCCGGACCUUAAUCCCAUAGAAAACUUGUGGGCUGACAUAAAAAAUGCUGUUUAUGAGGCAAAACCAAGAAAUGCAGAGGAAUUGUGGAACAUAGUACAAUUGUCCUGGGCUGCAAGACCGGUGCCAGAAGUUGGUCGACUCCAUGUGCCACAGAUGUGAGGAGUAAUUAGAAACUGUAGUAAUGCAACUAAAUAUUAGUUUAGGAUUCUCAGGAAACUUGAGUCUUCAAGCAUUUUUUAGUUUAUACAGUACAUUUUUGAGUUUGUAAUGAAAUAUGUCAACACUGCUAUUUUUUUUAACAUUACAUUUGUUGUCUUUCUGUAAAAUGUUAUCAAAUUUAAUUACUUUUUCCAAUUUUCUUGCCUUGAAAUAGAAUGUGCAGUGUCCCCAAUGCAUUUGUGUUAAUUAAAAUACAUUUUAUUUGAAGAAUUUUGAGGUUAACUCACCUUUUUAAACACACUGGUAUUAUUAUGAACAUAACUGUAUCUUUCAAUGUGUAAACACACACUGAGUGGUGUGCCUGUUAACAUCAACAUGCAGCUCUGUAGCAGCACAGACCAUGUGACUGACAGCUUAGUAACAAAUAUCAGAUACAGAGAGUUCACCUGUUAGAGGUAAUGUUUGUAUGUUGGGUGUUUUUGUGUCAGCGAUCAGCAGGAGAGAGAUGAGUGCUGCUCUCCCUGCAACAGGGACCAGCUGAGGGCAGGAACUCUGCCAAGUGCACCCUGUCUCAUUUGCAUGCAUGGAUGGCAUAGCAUUAGCAUAGUAAUAGGGGGGAAAAGCACAGAGAACUAACAGGAGAUAUUUGGCAGCUGAUACUCAGGGCCCAAUUACAAGCGUUCGCCUGCAUUCUCCUUUACUCAGGGGCUUUUCUCAUCUCACAGCCCUCUGCUCUGUUCUGCUAGGCACAGUGGGCCUAUCUUCAAACUGUCAGCCUGUUUAGAGCUGGAGAUAGCUGUGUGUGUGUGUGUGUGUGUGUGUGUGUGUGUGUGUGUGUGUGUGUGUGUGUGUGUGUGUGUGUGUGUGUGUGUGUGUGUGCGCGUGUGUGUGUGUGUGUGUGUGUGUGUGUGAGAGAGAGAGAGAGAGAGAGAGAGAGAGAGAGAGAGAGAGAGAGAGAGAGAAAGGAAACAGACCAGCUCUGCACUAAUGAGGACAGGGAUGCAGACAGCUAGAAUCCUCUCCAUUGCCUCACCUCUGCUGCUCCUCGCUCAGGAUGGAGGAAUGUAAAUAAGAUGUUCAUUUUUAGACAACAUGAGCAGGUUGGAGACAUGGAGGGUGUCGCAGAGAGGAGGCUAACCACAGUUAAACUUGUUGAGAAACUAACCCAGUGGUUCCAACCUUCUUUUUUUGCAGGGACAAGAGCCCUCCUACAUUAAAAGCCCCCAGGCUAACCCACACCCCCAGAACAUUAGUAGAAACAGACAAUCCUAGAAGAAAAAUGGCCACUGGAGCUGGGUUUUCAACAAGGGGUCCAGUUCAUUAAGGAGAAUUAUUAGCAUUACUAGGAAGUGAUUGGUAACUGUGCCAAAAUAACCUCAGAACCAUCCCACUUUAUGACACCCUUCUGUUGGGCGACCAUGAGUACCAGUUUGACCUUCAAGGGUUUCAGACACACUAAUGAUUAUAAGGGGGUGGGGGGUGGGUGGAUCAUACGGUUUUAUAUCUUACAUAAUUUAAUGUUAUUUGAUUGGUAAAAUAAUUUCACUCAAUGAAUUAUUACUCCAGUUUAUGUUUGCUUUUCUGCUUAUCAAGGGAUCCUCAUUGGUGUUACACAGGUUUUUAUCAGGAAACCAUCUGGUUCAAAAUAACGCUUUGUUUCCACCAGCAGAGCAAAGAGGAGGGUGAAUGUAAAGGGAGCUGGAAAUGUGAUGAGGGCAAAAUAGAACCUGCUUUUCUGUAAAAUUACCUCUGCUUGGUCCUUUACAGGAGACUAUGCAAGGAGAGUAUUAGAUAACAAUUAUAAUAACAAGAAUAAUAAUAACUUUUUUCCAACCAAAUUUCACCAAAGGCUUUAAUAAAAAAAAGCUCAAGUUACUUCAGCCCUGUACAUGACUUUAAAAUAAAAACCUUUUUUUUUUUUUUUUUUUAAUCAUCGCUGAAACAGAGUCAAUAAAAUGAUCAAUGUAUGAUCAUAGUUGGAGAACAAAAAAUCUGUUUAAUUUCUCUUUUCUAUCUUUAAUGGUUGCUUUUUAUUUCAUAUUUCCAUGUGCAUGAUAUGCUGUCUUCUCUGAUUACCAAUAACCCAAACAGCUGAUCUGGUGCCAUGCACUGCAUGUGGAGGUAAACAUGGUAGUUACUUGAUUAAUACCUACAAUCCCUGUAGCACACCAUAAUGUAAUAAUGUACUGAAAAUGUACGAAAAUUUGCACUUAACUUGAUUGAAAGUGUAAUAAAACCCAAUAAUACAAUUUUCCCAAUAAUGUAAUACCUUAUUACAUUAUUGGGAAUUUAUUACAUUUUCAGGUGGGUCUUCUUUUAUUCAGAACUGAUAAUAUAAUUCUUGACAAAUAAUCUUAUAUUCAGUCCAGAGUUCUACAUUUUGUGUUUUGGGAAUCUGAUAUUGGCUGGUGUUAAGAUCAGCUGUUUUACAGUGGGAAGAGCUUGACUUUGUGGCCUGUCUGAACUAACACUGUGCUCAAUUUAGUUAGUUCAAAAACUGAACUCCACCUCUGCAAAUAAUAAUAACGAUAAAAAUAAAUAAAUAAAACACACAGCUCAGGCUGAGUAACAGAACUCUGCUGAGCCAAGGGCAGGAUAUUGACCCUCUAAUUUUGAUAUAAGGCUCCAUAAAACUCCCACACAUCAGAAUAAAAACUCCCCUCCACCCUGGCCCCCUGGCACCUGGCUGAAAGACUCUUGGCUGAAUGAGGAUGUUGGAGACGGAGGUGCAGCUACAUGAGGGGAACCCAGAGCGGCAGGGUGGUCUCUUUUAACAUCCAGGUCUGCUGUGGAGUAAGUCAGACUCCAGUCACAUGCAGCAUCUGCUGCAUCUUUGUCUGAACAACAAGAACAGCCCCUGCAGCCCCAGAGAGGAGAGAGAUGAUUGAGUCACUUGGGAUCUCAGUAGAGAACAGAGAGAGAUGCUCCCACAGGGCUGCAGGUCAAUAUCAAAACAGACAACUGCUCCUAUUUACACACCAUCACCCCAAGGCAACAGCAAACUGACCUAGAAAGAGAGAGCUAGAACAAAAGACUGGAAAAAAAAAUAAACUGAGUGGGAUUCAGACUUACGGCUUGGUUUUAAUGAAACUGGGAGUGAGGCGAGCGCUAACUCACAGCACAAUUAAUGUUCACCUCUUUAAUGGCCAGAGGCUCAAAAUGCCUCUGUAGUAGAGGAAUUGCUCACUCACUGCCCCUUGUUUGAAUAUAUUUGAUCAAGAAUGCAAGUUACUUUAGCAUCAUAUUAGCUGUGCAGGAUUGUAGUACAUAUAGAAAGAGAUUUUUUAAUGUGUAAAGUGUCUCAAUUAUCUUGAGUGAUUUGCUGUGGUUUAAAUCCUUCGAAAAUAGAUCAAUUUCAAAAGAUGAUAGUUUGGCUCUUAGGAUUCUGUCUGUCCUGUGUGUGUGCACAUCAGUUAGUCACUUUACCAUCUUCAUUUUACUCUCCUACUCUAGUAUGAAAUACAGUACCAGGAGAAAAUUAGAACCAGGGCUAAAAGAAACAAUGAGGAAGUUUGAGCAAAAGCUAGAUAGCCAAGAAUAAAGUUGGGAUUUUACAUAAAAGGCAAAAUUAAACUAGGAAAAAACAAAUUCUUUGUCAAGACGAUUUUUCUAGCUCUUUUAUUUUAUUAUUUAUUCUGAGUCUGGUUUUAGUCAAUAAAAGUCAUUACAUCAAAGGGAAAAGGGCCAGUGGUGCUGGACGGCUCCUCUCUUAGCUGCAGGACAAAAAGAUUCAUAGGUUCUUUUGUACCCACAGCCAUCAGACUGUUUAAUUCUUCUGUCAAUAGUAGAUGACAUGAGACCACAGACAAUUGAAUGUCCCUACGGGGAUCAAUUAAGUUCUUUUUCUUCUCCUUCUCUCUCUCUGUAUUUCCGUCUAUCCCCUCUCUUCCCCAACCCAGUGGCCGCAGGUAGCUGUCCAACAUAACUCCAGUUCUGCUUAAGGUUUCCACCUGUUAAAGGGAAGUUGUUCCUUGCCACUGUAACUUGCUAAAUACAGCAAAGUGCCUUACUUGUGUUGGUUUAAGAUGAGUCAAGGAUGGGUCUUAUUUUAUAGAUGGGACUCAAUCUUUUCCCAUCUUGAGGUUGGCUCUCUGUAAUACAUCGAAACAAUGAGUGAGGUCUCGACCUGCUCUCUUGGAAAGAGUCUUGAGACAAAGAUUGGUGUGAUUUGUGAAUUUUUAUGUAUAAAAAUUGAUUGAUUGAUUGAUUGAUUGAUUGAAUUAAUUAAAAAUGCUUCAGAACUGACAAAUGAAUCCUCAAACUUAAGCCAUGCUUCAGGAAAUGUUUCAUACAGCUUCACAGUUUGGUAAAAAAAAAAAAAAAAGCCUGACAUCUAUUGCUUCUAACCUCCUUUCUUCUUCCCUUCCAUUCCCAACAGGGAAUGGAAGCAUUAGUCCAGGUAUCUGACUCUUUGGAGCAUUUAUAACAGGGGUAAGCUUGUUCAAAUUGCACGAGCUGGGUCUUAAGUUUGGUUUUAACUGAAAAUUAUUGUUAUUUUGUACAUAGGUGAAAUUUAAUUUAAUUUAAAUUGUUCAUUUAGUAUCCAAAAAAAGUGAGGCAAAGGGCAAGAUUAAAAAAGCAAGCACCGUUUGAACGUGACCAGACCUGAUUAUGACUAUGAAGGAAUGCUGUAACGAAGACUUUGGGCUCUAUUUUUGUGCGCGCCGGUGAGGCGACGGAGGGUGGUGGACCCCACGCAGUUGUAUUUUCGUCUGGCGGAGCCCGGCGUAAAGCCAGUUUGGUAUUUUUGUGGACUGAGGCGCUCGGAGGCGAGCCGAGAUCCGCCAAGCUGGGCGUGGUGGCGUGGCAGGGGGAGGUGUCAACAGAAUCAGCGGGCGCAGUGACAUUUUCGUGCUUGCCAGUAACGUGUAAAGUGCGCUGAAAGCUCGCCGAUUCAAACCUGGUCAGCUUUCAGCGCAUGGCGGAGCGCAGCUAGUCUAGUAGUAUUUUCGUAGACCGGCGGCGUAUCGGCAUACGUCACUGAUGCCUCAUCGGCAGGUUUCCACAGUGUCAGGCACAUUUCAGUGCAAUAAAUAAUCAUCAACAACUAAUAAUCUGAGUCAGCACAUACAUUUAGAUCUAUAUAGAUAUAUUCUGAUCUAUAUCUGAUCUGAUGAGCGCGUUUGGCACGCGUUUGGACACACAACGUGAACGAAUCAACACAGCUGAAACCGCAUCAAAUUAAAUUAAAUAUCUAGUAAAUAAACACACAUGAUGAAGUUAACAAGAUAUGUAAUUCGUCUCCCUCCUUUUCUUUCUUCCUCUUCCUCUUAUUUCUCGCACAGCUCGACCUGGACAUGUCUCUGUGUCCUCUUCUCGUCCUGCUGCUGCGGCUGAACAGAUGAUUUGUUUCAGUGAUCAGAUGCGUUAUCUACUUUAAGCCGACAUACGGAUAUUAUAAUAUUCAGUUUUGUGAGUCAAAUUUAUUUUAUAUGCCAACAUCUAUGAAAGAAAGAGCCAGGCCACGGAGCGCGAUGCGUCAUUUACGCACAGAUGGUUCCGAUUUUAAUGCCAUUUUUGGAGUUUAUGUUUAUGCGCUCAACCCACCUUUGUCACGUGAGGUUUGAAUAUGUGCAACUUUAUGUGAGUGUCUUUUUUUGUGGAAAAGGGUGUUUGUCUUACUAGUGGGUCCAACAUUACACACACCAAAUCCAUCUGUGCUCAGAUGAGAGAGUGUGGAGGACGCCCAGUGCAGCGCUUACAGUGACACUUGUUGAGGAGCUGCCCUUUGUCGCCAUCUUGUGGCAUUACUGUCUUCAGACAUCUCUUGAUCUCUUUGACUACUUCAUGAAAAUUGUAAUACGCCUCGCCUGUGGCGGAUUUAAAGGCGAGGAGAGGAGCUGAUGUGAUUGGUGAAAACAGGUCUCGGCUGUGUUAAACCCACUCCACGCCCUUUCUCCUCCCUCGCUACGACUUAUGCUGCUGGGAGGAGCUGAGUUAGGAAGGGGGGGAUACUUACGCCGGGCUGCGCGGCUCACCAAAAUACCAAAAUGUGCUUGGACAUGCCUUGUCAGCGCGGCGGAUCUGACUUAUGCCGCGCUUGCGGCACGUCUCCGGCAAGGCACGAAAAUAGAACCCAUUGAGAUACAACUAACUGGCGACGAGACAGUUAGGGCCAUGAAGUUAAAUACAAGAGGGAAUGAGGGUGAUGGGAAACAGGUGGGGACAGACAAUCAGGAGGCAGGUGUGACAAGGCAGGGGCGGGGCAGAGACAAGGGUUAGUGACUUUAAAAUGAAACAUGAACAAGAUAUGGAAUAUGAAUGUGCAAAAAUAAGGGAAACUUGACGGACAUAAGACUUCAGUAUACAUAUGCUGUUAAAAACAAACUUCCUCUAUGAAUUCAUGAAUUUUCUGCUUUCAUUAAACAAAUGAACUAAACACUGGACCAGGAGCAGGAACAUUUUCUAAGAAGAGUAGAUGACUGCAGCAAAAAGUAAAGCAAAAGUUACUCUUGAAUGACUUUUCUGAUGGAGUUACUCAAUAAUUUAGUUACAUUUGAAAGGAGGAUGGAGUCACAGAAAGUUUAGUCUCUGACAAAAAUGUUGUUUGAGGAGAGGUCUGUGCAGGUAGAGGGUUUAAUGGUUUGGACCUUAUCAGGUGAGCAUUAAAAUCAAACAGAUUUAAACCAUUUAAAAAACUUAAGAUACUUUCAAGAGAAUGAUUCAAAACAAAAAAAUUAAGGUUUAUCUAGAAAAUGUUCAUUCAACCCUAGCAAAUGCAUGCGAGUACCUUUACUUCAUGCAAUAAUAUCUGUUGUGUAUAAAAUGUUUAUUUUUGAUUCAGUGAUGGAGAAAACCUCACCAGCUGCUGGUUUAUGGUUUGGUUUGUUGCCAACUCUGUGAGUGAACAUAUUUGAAAUAAACAUUAAUUCUAGUUCAGAGCCAUGGAAAGUCAUAAAAAAGGUGAAUACAUCCGUCACUCCGUGCCUCAGCUAUCACUGCCACUAAGGCAAACAGUGUGAGUUAUUGUCUUUUGUUGGGAAAUGUCUCCUUUGGAUCAGUGAUUUUUGAUUCAUGAUGCAACAUCUUGGCAACCUGACACAAAGCACAGUAUGCAGGGAAUCACUGGUCCUGAUAUUCAUCUACAAAGAGUGUAAAAAUGUCAAAGUAGGUGAUAAGCUAUAAAACAAAUGGCCCAAGUAAUUCACUCAUUAUUCCCAAGAAUAAUGAGUACAUUUCCCAAUUUGAUGUGAUGUAUACCAAAUACAGUAUAUGAAAGGCUGAUUGGGGAAGUGGUUGAUGUUUUUCUUCACUCCUCCUUCAGUCUGUCCAGGAAACAAACAUCAAAACAGCAUAAACAGUACAGUGUUUGGCCAUCCAGUGCAGUUUGAAGAUUGCAGUCGGAUCAGGAGCAGAAAAUACAUCAUCUUCUGCUGGGCUUCAUCCUCUGACUGUCACACAUGAUCACAAUUAGCCCAGAGACAAAGGUCCGGCUGUGGUUGGCCUGUGGAGAGGGAAAUCAUGAGUUUAUAAUCUUUAAGGGAUUAAAGCUGCAUUCUGGGGGGGGUUAAAGACACAGACAGAAAGAGGUGGAGAAGGUGGGCAAGGAGAUCAGUGUACCAGUAACACCCAGUAACACCCAGCAGUCUAAACCUGUAGCAGCAAAACCAAGGACUGAUCCAGACCUGCAGCAGGUCUGGCUAUAAGCUUUAUCAAAGAGGAACAUAUUAAGUCUACUCCAAAAAUCAGAAAGGGUGUUUGACCCCUGGACCUGGACUGGUAGAUGAUUCCAGAAAAGGUUGUAGUUUGGUACAGUAAGCUUCGAUCUUGAAGGUGCUUUCAGUUCAGAGAAAGCUUGAUUUUGAUUUUGGGGUGCAAGUUAACAUAUCAGACUGUGCAGACUGUGGGCAUGGUCAGUGUAUGUUGUCCAAAAACAGAAGUAAAACAAAAAGUAGAGUGCUGUGUUCACUCUGUGUUAGCUUUAAAUUAAAUAUACCAUGGUUUUACUCUAUAAAUGCUUGUCCAAGCUAAGGCUCAAUCCAUACUUCGGUGUAAAAAAAGUCUUAUUUCACAUUGAUUUUAUUUAUUUAUUUAUUUUUUAUCUUUUUAAAUCUAUUGAAUUUCAUUUGGUGAUAUGAAACAAUACAAGAUAAGUGAGGAAGCAUGCAACAGCGACAAAAUGUUGUUAGGGUAAGAUGACAUAUAAUCAAAUAAAUAGGUAGGCACUUUGUGGGAUUUUCAAUUUUGACAAUUUGAAUUUUUAAUUCAUGUUCUUGUGUGUGUGUGUGUGUGUGUAUGUGUGUGUGUGUGUGUUGUGUGAGAUCAACAAAAUGAGUAUAGAAAUGACCAAAUAGGUGAAUAAAACUAAUAAAAGGGAAACAAAAUAAGAAUAAGAAUAACUUUACUGCUAAUAACUUUGUAAAUAAACUUUGUAAAUUGUAAAUAAUAGAUAACUGUUAGAGUUAUCACAAGAGUUAUAAAGUCUGAUGGCUGUUGGUACAAGAGAUCUCCUGAAUCUCUCUGUCCUGCAGCGAAGAGAGAGGAGCCGUCCACCACCAUUGGCCCUUUCUCCAUCUCCGUCUUCAUCUUUGUGUUUGAUGCUUCCUCCCCAGCAGACUGCAGCGUAGAACAGAACACUGUAGACACCACAGACUGAUAAAACAUCUGCAGCAUCUUACUACAGAUGUCUAUUGAUCAGAGUUUUCUCAGGCAAAAGAGGGGGCUCUGCCCCUUUCUGUACAUGAAGUCCAUAUUCUUAGACCAAUCCAACUUAUUAUCCAGAUGUACACCUAGGUAUUUCUAUGAUGUCACCACUUCGAUGUCCACUCCACAGGUGUUCACUGGCUGAAGAGGGGGUUUGGAUCUAUGGAAGUCUAUGACCAUCUCCUUUGUCUUUGAGGUGUUGAGGAGGACGCAGUUUUUGUGAUUCCAGUCACUGAAGGCUCUUAUUAGAUCUCUGUAUUCAGCUUCUUGUCCAUUUCUGAUACAUGCCACAAUAGCGGUGUCAUCUGAGUAUUUCUGGAUGUGGCAGGACUCAGUACUGUAUUUGAAGUCUGACGUAUACAGUGUGAACAGGAAUGGCACCAGCACUGUCCCUUGUGGAGUCCCUGUACUGCUCAUUAAUGUCCCAGAAACAUAGUUCAGCAGCCUGACAAACUGUGGCCUUCCUGUCAGGUAAUCUGUGAUCCAGAAAACACAGGAAGGAUCCACUCCCAUCUCUGUGAGCUUGUCUUUGAGUAUGGUGGGUCGGAUGGUGUUGAAUGCACUUUAAAAGUUGAAGAACAUGAUCCUCACAUAAACCCCAGGUUCCUCCAGAUGAGACAGGGCACGGUGAAGCAUGUAGAGGACAGUAUCAUCCACUCCAAUGUGUUCUUUGUAUGCAAACUGCAGGAGUUCAGUUUGUCUUUGACCUCAGACCUCAGAAGGCGUAGAAUCAGUCACUCCAGGGUUUUCAUGAUGUGUGAAGUGAGGGCCACUGGUCUGUAGUCAUUGAGUUCAGCAGGACAUUUUGUUUUUGGUAUUGUCACAAUGCAGGAUGUUUUCCACAGAGCAGGUACCCGCCCCAGCUGUAGACUCAGGUUGAAGAUCUUGUGGAGAGGUUGAUUCAGUUCUUGGUUGAUACCGCGUCGGUGAGUUAGUUUGCUUGCUACUUUUAUUUUCAGGGUAUUUCUGGGACAGUUGUUUUGUACAAGACGCAACAUGCAAAGUAGCCAGAAAGGAGUUGGAAAGAACAAUGUUUGCAGCAUGUAUUGGAUCAGGUUACAGUAAGAUUUCUACUGUGCUAUCUCUCCCUCCCUUUGCUUUAAUCUCUGUACCCCUCUGGCUGCUCAGCUGGCGUCUCUUGGUGAAUAAAGAACCAACGGACCAACCCCCGACUUCCCAAAGCAUCCCCUAAUAUAAACAGAAACGCACCAACAACAGAGAUGGGAUGCAUUAAGGGAGUUAAAUCAUUUUAAAAGUAUAGUUCUGCACAUAGGUCCACUUGGUACCCCCUACAGUAUCGGAUUGGUUAUUUGGGUAUCUUAACAUUUGACAAUAGUAGCAUACCACACUGUCCCGGACCGCUGUGCUAACCCCUACUAGUAAAAAGCACCCAUUUUUCACUUAUACAAACCUACUAUCUCCAAAACUAAUGAAUUAUAAAGGUAUAUUUAACUUCAGACCAGAAUGACCUUCACGAAGCAGUUUACAUCUUUAUUUUAAUUUAAAAUUGAGUUAUUAAGAACAGGAAAGCAUGUGGGUUUUGCAGUUGGCCUUACUGUAAUUGAACACCUAAAGAACUGCAACCUCUGGCACCCUUACAUGACCAGAGUUAGCACACCACCUUUUUUAAAGCCUCGAGUUUGGCAUUGCAACCAUCAACCUUUAUCAAAUUGUAGAACCAGGUUAACUGGUAGUGGCUGGAUGAAAUGACUGGAUGUUACCUUUUGCAAACAUGCAAAAGAGUUCUGAUGCACCACGACAUUGUUGAAAAGAUCGUGUUUCUGGUUUAAAAGUUUAGAGGUUUUCAAAAAUGAGUCGAAACCACCAAGAACACCAAGUAUAGAGCAGCAAGCGUUUUGUGUCAGGACUUGUGUGAACAGUAAAGUACAUGUAGGAAGAAUGAUCACUGUGUCAGUCAAGUUGUGCACGUGAAACUUGUACUUCAGUGGGUGUGGAUAAUAUCAGAUUACCAUUCACAAAGGGGUUGACUGAAAUGCAUUUUGCUUAUAUUAGUGACAUGGAGUGGCUAUUUGUUGUGGAGUCAAAGCAGAUGGGACAAACUAGACCUUGUUUUCAGAGACCUCUCCACAAACUGAGGCUGGUUUGUGUUACAACCCUGCAGGUCCAGAGUUACACAAAACCAGAGCUGAGAGUGUCCUUCUUUUUCUUCUUUUUUUGCAGAAAGGAAACACACCCUGAGGGAUACAGUCAGCUGGGAUUACUGUGCAGGAAAGUCAGCAUAUCCUUUUCCCAUGUCCUUGUCUUUCAUUUCUUCUUACAAAUGAAAGCUGCUUCUGCUCAGUGUUCUGAGGCUAUAACUCGUAUCUAUUUCAACCCAACAGGUGAAGACUAAAAUUUCAUGAAAAAAAACUUUAAUUCUCCAAUUUCUCAAAUGCACACUGUAAUAAACAUUGAAAUAAAACAACAUCAAAUCCAUAUAAAGCUUCAUUUGAUUCUGUCAAGGCCAUAUAGCUGAAUUAUUGUUUCUUUAACUUCCACAAAAAUAAUUCCAAGAGAAGAAAUGGGAGUCUUAAAAUUCUGAUUCAUCAUGCAACAAUGAUGGGAGAGUGAUUAUAAUUCUUUUAUUAGGCACAUAGGUUGUAAUCCACAAAGAGCAAACACCAGGAAGUGCGCAUCAUUUCCUCGCUAUCUGCCCUGUCUCAAGGUUUAAUUCAUUUCUGCACUUAAAUAUCAUCGCUGCUUAUUUUUUGAUGAAGUUUUGCCGCCCUGUGCAGUUAUCUCUAUGUUUGAGCUUCAUUGUGAAUGAGAGAACAUCUCCAUGCACUGCUAUCCAGAGCCAUGUUGUGUGCGCUCAGCCUAUUGAUGUUAAAUCAUAUCCACAUACAGCUGAUGUUGAACUUUAUGGAGUGGGAAAGUCCUCAGCCGUGUACCACAAAAUCAGUUUGUGAGAAAUGUUACACUAGCUUCACGGUUUAUAUAGUCCUUACUUCCUUGGGCAAGUGAGCAAAAAUCAGCCUGUUCAUAAAAAAAAAAAAAAAAAACAGCAACAUACCUCAGUGUGUAGAUGUCACUGUUCUUACAUGCAUGUAGUCAUUGAAUGAUUUAGCCGUGACUGCUAUAAAAACAGUUGUGUCAAAGUCAUACUAUGACAGAGUAUUAAGACUGCAUUGAGAAUUUUUUCUUUACAGACUUCGAGAAUCAAUCAUAAUUUUAAGAGGAUAAAGUCAUAAAUUUAUGAGAAAAAAGCCACAAUAUCAUAAAAAGUUAGAAUUUUACAAGAAAUAAGUCAUGAAUUUAUGAGAAUGAAGUCAUAAUUUUGUAGUUGAAAAGAUAAGAACAAUUUAAAGCAAAAACAAGGUCUGUAGGUUGAAGUAUGCAGAUAUUGUGAGCCCAAAAAAGUGGAUGAGAAGCAAAAAGGCAAAAAUUCCCCAAUGGUAUGGUGUUUCCGUUGUAAAAAUGUAUGCAAAAAAAUAGUUAAAAAAUUUGCAAAAGGUAUUAUUUGUAGAAAUGUGAAAAAAAUACAAGCAAAUGUGUCCUGUAGGAGUGGAAAG
rnacentral:lncRNA from 1 species